CAAGGGAAACAGUUUUAGACAUGGCGGGUGAACCUCAAGAUGGCGACACAGCUGAGGGUGAGGAACCUGACAUGUGUGAGGGGAACCAGGAACCAGAACAUCAACUCUCUGGGGAGGAGGGGUCCAGCGAGGGGAGGAUCUAGCUGCAUCAACAGACAGUGUGCCAUGAAAAAGUCUCUGAAACCUACAGACCUUCCAGUUCUUACAAGUGCUUUCUACAAACUACAUAUGGUCAAAUUCUGUCCAGCUGAUAAACACUUAGAUGUCAAAAAGACUUCAUACAAAAAACUAUCCAAGUUUUUGAAGGAAAUGGAGAAAGCUGGAUAUAUAAAAGUAAAAGAGUUGUCCAAAGGUGUGGAAAGCAUUACAGAAAUGAAGAAAGAUCACCCAGAAUUACGGUACGUUAAACCACCAGAAGGUGCUGGAGUUACGGAAGCAGCCCCAGCAGAGACAUCAGAUUCCCAAUACCACCCACCCCGCAUCACAGAAAUGUUGUCUUUCAAUGCAGCUGUCCUUCCUCUUGUGAAAGAACUUGGAAUGCACAAAGUUACACUAGAUCCAUUGCUUGCUUCUAUAGUGCUGAAUAAGGGAGAGAAUGACAUCACACAACUUCGAUGGGACGAUUUAACUUCAAGAAUCGCUGGCAAGAUGCAAAAUGUUAUCAAAGUGGAGUUUCAAGGACAACCACCUAUCAUCAGGAAAGGCAAAAUGGAAGAAAUCACCCUUAAUGUGUUCCAAAGAGGUUCCAACAAAAAGGUGACGACCGUGGAUAACCUGGAUGUGUUUGGACUGGAUCUGAAGGAGUUUGCCCACGAGAUCCAGAUAGCGAUCCAGUGUAGUUGUACCGUGUCUCAAAGUAGUUCCAACAAAAUGCAAGUGGUCAUCCAGGGCAACCAGAUUGCCUUUGUUGCCGAUCUCUUGACAGGAAAAUAUAGAAUUCCAAAAAAAUACAUCAAAGGUUUAGAAAAGGCACCAAAAGGAAAACGAAAAUAA
rnacentral:sRNA from 1 species